rnacentral:lncRNA from 1 species
CCCCGUAAAGUGCAGAGACGACCCUCUCAGCAAAUCAGAAAGGCAAGGAUUCAAACGGUACAAUUCCAGAGUCGUCCCCGUAAAGAGCCGAGUCGUCCCCAGACAACGUAAAAAGUAAAAUCUUGUAGCCGAGACGUCUCUCGUUGAAGCAGAGACGUCCCCGGAGCGCCUGGGACGCGACUGACAGCUUUUACAGGUUUGGUUUGAAUUUCAAAU